rnacentral:rRNA from 1 species
GCAUAUCAAUAAGCGGAGGAAAAGAAACUAACAAGGAUUCCCCUAGUAACGGCGAGUGAAGCGGGAUGAGCUCAAGCUUAAAAUCUCCAUAGGAGUUUCCUGUGGCGAAUUGUAGUCUAUAGAGGCGCUGUCAGUGCGGCUGUUUGGGAUAAGUCUCUUGGAAAAGAGCAGCAUGGAGGGUGAUACUCCCGUUCUUGCCUGAGCAGCUUGCGCGUACGACACGUUUUCUUUGAGUCGCGUUGUUUGGGAAUGCAGCGCAAAGUGGGUGGUAAAUUCCAUCUAAAGCUAAAUAUUGGUGCGAGACCGAUAGCGAACAAGUACCGUGAGGGAAAGAUGAAAAGAACUUUGAAAAGAGAGUUAAAGAGUACCUGAAACUGCUGAAAGGGAACCGAAUCGUUUCCAGUGUCUAUAAUCCGUAGCAUAUUUCAUUGGCGAGUGGAUGCGUGCAGUGUUUUGACAGCGGCUUGCUGCGUCAUGCAUUGUUCUGCGUUUACUUGCUGGUGCCCUGUGUUGCGGUGGGACGUCAGAGUCAGUUCGUAUGCUGCGGGAAAUGGUCAUCGAGGAGGUAGGUGCUUGCACUGUUAUAUCUCGGUUGACUAGUCGUCGUGGUUGGGACUGAGGUGCCUACAAUGUGCUUUAACGUCUUGCGGAUGCUUAUCUGAUCAACUGCUCUGAUAGCUUGCUAUGUUUGCGGUCUGGUUGGGUGAUUGUGUUUGUAAGUAACGUUUGCCGUUCGGGACUUUGACGAAAUGGAGCGAUCCGACCCGUCUUGAAACACGGA